UCAGGACAGCGCACAGGGAAGUACUGGCUUGGAGCUGCGUGUUCCUUGGGCGGCCGGCGGAGGGCGAAGAGCAGGAAGAGCCCGGGGGACGACGGUAGCAGAGUGUUGGGGAGGCCACAGACGCGGACUGCGUGGAGAAAGCACGCACCCGGGCCGCAGUAGCCGGGCAGGGGGACGGCGGAAAGCAGCCCUCUCUGGAACAUUUUAUUCUGAUCCCCGCAGGACUCCCCCGCGAGCCCCGGCUUGAGCAGUCGUGUAACAAGUGUGCGAUUGCGCGUGCGACUGGAGUGGAACGACCUUCCCUGACCUCAUUUUCAUGUCGGCGCGAGCACACCCGGAGCCGGCUACGCACAUUCCGGAGGAGGCGC
rnacentral:lncRNA from 1 species